AGGAGACGUGUUUUCUUGAAGACAAUGGAAAUCCCCAUUGUCUAUCAUCCAGGAUUGACGUCAAUACUAGGAGAGAUAGAAAGCUGGCCUUAAACAUGAUGCAGGAAGCACAGUUCCCUGCCUCUGCAUCCCAUGGCCCCAGAUACAGUCAAAUAUUCCUAAAAACAAAACGCAACUCAACCAAGCAACAUCAACAGCAAAGUUCUAACUUUAUGCGGAGGAGGCUUUGAAGGGAAGGGAGGGCAGCUCCCCAAAACCUAACCCCAGAGUUCAUCCUCGUGGGAUGAGCACCCACCUGAGAAGGGUGAGCAGAGGUCUCAGCAGAGUGUGAGAGAAAGGAGGACGGGGCAGGAGCCACACAGAUGCCAGAGAAGGUUUAGGGCACCGCCACUUUCGACAUACUAAGGAAGAGAGAGAACCUAGCAAGCGUGGGGAGCUACAGCAGCCCGGCAGGCGAGGUGUUGUCACUCACGUCCAGUUUCUAGCUCGGUGACCUCCUUUGGACUUCUAAGUUGGUGCAGUUAAUGCAACAUACAAAUUACAGCAACAACCAUCGUGAUGAUGUAAAAUAAUGAUAUGAUAACAGUAAUACCAUGAUUGCCGUCUUUA
rnacentral:lncRNA from 10 species